rnacentral:rRNA from 1 species
UGGGGAAUUUUGCACAAUGGGGGAAACCCUGAUGCAGCGACGCCGCGUGAUUUAGAAGGCCUUCGGGUUGUAAAAAUCUUUUCUAUGGGAAGAAAAUGACAGUACCAUAGGAAUAAGGACCGGCUAAUUACGUGCCAGCAGCCGCGGUAAUACGUAAGGUCCGAGCGUUGUCCGGAAUCAUUGGGCGUAAAGGGUACGUAGGCGGGUAAGCAAGUUAGAAGUGAAAUCCUAUAGCUCAACUAUAGUAAGCUUUUAAAACUGCUCAUCUUGAGGUAUGGAAGGGAAAGUGGAAUUCCUAGUGUAGCGGUGAAAUGCGCAGAUAUUAGGAUGAAUACCGGUGGCGAAGGCGACUUUCUGGCCAUAACCUGACGCUGAGGUACGAAAGCGUGGGUAGCAAACAGG